UGCACCGGUAUGUGUACGCAAGUUUUUAUGAAUCAGAAUAUUUUUUUAGCGUACCGAGACGCCUAGGCAGGCUCCUGCGCGGCUCUCUCCAAGGUGCCGGUCCCUUAAAUACGUACGCAGGAAAUAUUCACCGUGAAUUACUUGCCGUCACACAGCCCACUCUCCUCCAGUGAUGUGCUGAUCCUCGAUCGGGCCACAACAUGUAGAAACCUAUUUGAGGAACAGUAAAGUGGAAGUGAAAGAUUUGUUGUGUCCAAUCUGCCUCGCUGUGACUAUAAGAGUCUGGAGACGUCCAACGUCGUUCUGUUCUUGGGAAUGUAGACGACCUGACAAACACUGGUUUCCCAGAGGCUCCAGAGCACUUUCCUCUGCCUCCUUGGAUUCCUUCCUUUUUCCAGACAGGAAGACGGUGAGUGUCUGAGAGAUUUCUGCGUUCGUACUGGCAGGAACACAAUAUGAGCUCAGAGAACAGGAAAAUAGGAGGACCUGACUACACCACCGAAACCACACAGGAGAGAACGAUGCCCAACCUUGAGCGAGAUGUGCAGGGUGCAGAGGCAGGGAGGUCUCACUGUCUGCUCGAGGCAUUGAGCGUGAGAGAGAGAAGUCACAGUAUGGAGAAAUUAAUCAACAUGAAGCCGAUGAAGCAAAAUAAACUUGCGGAAGACUGUGUCAUGUUACGAUCUGCUCACGCUCACGGUCCCACGGUGGUGGAAUGACCUCCAUGUCAGAACGGCAGAGUCUCUGACCUCCUUCAAGCGCAACUGAAGACCCAUCUCUUUAGGCUACACCUUUCCCUCCCCAAUCACCAUGAUUAGCCUUAGACUGUAAUGGCACUUAUGUAUAGAUAUCCUUACUUGUAUAGGUAUUGCUGUUUUCAUUGGCUGUUGUAUUGUUGUAUUCUAGCUGCCAACUGUGGUAUGCUAGUUUGAAAGUUGAUUGUACUCUUCAAGGGUUCUGAUUUUCUGUAUGUUUACGCUAGGACUCGGAACUGUACUGUCCUCUCAGGUCCUCUUGGCACUUGUUCUUGUGUUUGAUUUGCACUUUGUUGUACGUCGCUCUGCAUAAGUACGUCUGCUAAAUGCCACGUAAUGUAAUGUAAUGUAAUGUAAUGUUACACUCUGUAAAGUGUCUCAUAAAAAAUGCAAAAUGAAAGGAAUACUUUUUUUGUAUCUAUAGUGGCAACUGUGGUGUUAUGGGUCAAAACUGACUUUUGUUAGGAAAAAAGGUCAAACCUUUAUUUUGUUCAAAAUAACACAUUCAAAUUGAAAAUAAACAAAAGGGUUGCUCAAAUCACA